rnacentral:rRNA from 1 species
CCUACGGGAGGCAGCAGUGAGGAAUAUUGGUCAAUGGUCGGGAGACUGAACCAGCCAAGCCGCGUGAGGGAUGAAGGUACAGAGUAUCGUCAACCUCUUUUGUCAGGGAACAAAGGCGGGGACGUGUCCCCGGAGGAGUGUACCUGAAGAAAAAGCAUAGGCUAACUCCGUGCCAGCAGCCGCGGUAAUACGGAGGAGUCGAGCGUUAUCCGGAUUUAUUGGGUUAAAAGGGUGCGCAGGUGGUCUGUUAAGUCAGCGGUCAAAGCCCGGGGCUCAACCCCGGCCCGCCGUUGAAACUGGCAGUCUCGAGUUGGAGAGAAGUAUGCGGAAUGCGCGGGGUAGCGGUGAAAUGCAUAGAUAUCGCGCAGAACUCCGAUUGCGAAGGCAGCAUGCCGGCUCCACACUGACGCUGAGGCACGAAAGCGUGGGUAUCGAACAGGAUUAGAUACCCUGGUAGUC